rnacentral:rRNA from 1 species
GAUGAACGCUGGCGGCGUGCUUAACACAUGCAAGUCGAACGAAGCACCUUGAUUUGUUUCUUCGGAUGAAGAUCUUGGUGACUGAGUGGCGGACGGGUGAGUAACGCGUGGGUAACCUGCCUCAUACAGGGGGAUAACAGUUAGAAAUGACUGCUAAUACCGCAUAAGACCACAGCACCGCAUGGUGCAGGGGUAAAACUCCGGUGGUAUGAGAGGGACCCGCGUCUGAUUAGGUUGUUGGUGGGGUAACGGCCUACCACGCCGACGAUCAGUAGCCGACCUGAGAGGGUGACCGGCCACAUUGGGACUGGGACACGGCCCGAACUCCUACGGGAGGCAGCAGUGGGGAAUAUUGCACAGUGGGGGAAACCCUGAUGCAGCGACGACGCGUGAGCGAUGAAGUAUUUCGGUAUGUAAAGCUCUAUCAGCAGGGAAGAAAAUGACGGUACCUGACGAAGAAGCACCGGCUAAAUACGUG